GAUAGGACCCUGUCGUUACCGUGAUUGGACUCUGACGCUGAGUCAACUAGCCUGGAACGCGUGGUUCUUCGCGCGCGGAACCCGGGGCGGUCCGAGCCACUAGGGGGGAGGCUCGGACCGCUCUCG
rfam:Actinobacteria bacterium OV450 ctg83, whole genome shotgun sequence.